AGUGUGCUAUUGGCCUCUGGGAACAGGGAAUUGUGGGUUGAAUGUGCAGCACAAUCACUGAACCAAAAAACGCUCUCAAGACUGAGACUUUACUAAUAAGCUUAUGGAGCUGAGAGAAGAAGAAUCCUUUCUAUUACAAUGAAGGUCAAAGAUCUUUGUUAUAUUAUGUCCAGAGUGGAAUGAUUUCAGAGUAUCCUAGCUAUGCUGACUGACUUCAAAAGUCUUCCUUCCAUGCUGACCUAACAAUAGCAAAUCCAUUAGAAACAUCCACUCUAAAGUCCUUUAACAUUGAAUUUCCACCUACACUUCUCAACACAUCAUCAAAGCCAUCAAAUGAAGACAUGUUUUUUCCUAGCAAAGUUACAAUGGUGAAAGUGAAAAUAUCCACUAUAUACUCCAUAUAAAGAUAGGCUCUCAACCAAGUGCCUACUCUAUUGGUUAAAAGCUAAUGUGGAAUUCAGAAUAAGGGCUAAAGAGUGAGGUUUAGGAGAGAAGGCUGUUGUGAUUUAAUCUUGGUUGGCACAAUUUCUGUUAUCACUUAUUGAGGUCUAGUUUGGUAAUUCUAAGUGCCUUAAUUGAUAAACUGGAGGAGAAGGACAGGGAUUUUCACAGGCUGCUGGAUUAGGCAGAUGUGUGAAAAGUGAUUAUUCUUAAAAUUCAUAGGGACUGUAGUAGAAUAUAGUUGAAUGUAGAGAGAAGGCUCAAAAGGGACAGUGCAAGAACAUCUUGAAAGAGUGAAGUUUAAAAGACAAUGAUCUCAGCAUGAGUAAAUGAUGAGGGUGGAGGAAAAAUGUAGAAAUGCACAUGUUGGCAGAAAAUAAAGGUCCACAUGAGGAGAUAAAUGAAAUUUCAGCUAUUUUUCAUAAGACAGGAAAACUCUAAGAUACUGAAUAACACAUAUUUCCAAGAGAGUAUCUAAGAUUUACUAUUUUAAGCAAAACCCUUAAAAAGUUACUUAGCAUUAAUCAGUUAAUUUGAUAGACAAAAUGGGUAAGUAUUGACAGAAGAGCCAGUAGAAGGUAAUUACUGGUAAAUAACGAAUGGAGAUUU